CAAAUUUGGUGGAUGGCGGCUUAUAGUCAGGUGCGCCUUAUAGUCCAAAAAUUAGGGUAGUCGGUGGAAUUGAUUUCAACAAAUUAGCUAGUGUGAGUCAUAGGUGCCUGCUUGGCAUGCUAAUAAAAAAAACAUAUUAACAGAUCAAACCUAGUCAAAUAAAUUCAAAAUGCAGAUCCUUGUUCCAAAUACCCAUGUGGCCAAAACAAUGUCACACCAAACUGCCGUAAUUCAUUUCAUUCUGAAGGACUAUUUUUUAGAUGCGUAAUGCGACCACAAUAGAGAGGAAUGCUUCGACCAUUCAUGCUCAGUCUGCUGGGGAGUCCGUUUUCGUUCCCACAAAAACAAAAACAAAAAACAAAAAAGUGUAAAAAAAACUAUGUGAUAUCAUUCCGCCUUGCUAGCCUAGACAGCCUGUUUCCUGCAGAGCUGCUGGAUUACAAAUGUUGUUAUUCAUACUACAAUUAUUGACAUUCUAUGGUAAGUUUUAAUAACUUUUUUCUAUAAACAUAGCCAACACUAUUGAUUGCAUAGGUCAUCUGUGAUUGUCUUGCGUGCAUAUGUUGUUUUUUAUUGGUGUGCUAAGUAAGCACCAUUGACAUUGGCAUGUUAGCUUAGCCACUCCGGAGCCCUGCAACUAACAACUAACAAACUGCAGGGGAUUUGUUGAAAUAAAUCCAGCGACUUAGGGUGAAUCCCAUUUCACCCCUUGGCCCUACCCCUUCCCCUCCGUUUUGCGCGUUCAUGUUUAGGGGUAGGGCUGUCCCAAUUCACGCUAAUGUGCAGGGGUAGGGGUAAGGGGGAGGGCUUUCCACCCCUCCUAACGGAGGGCCAUGACUACCCUCACUCCAAACGGAGGGUUACGCGAAAUUUCCCAGGGUGCAAAGCGAUUACCCCGAGAAUCAUUUCCAAAAUGGCGGAGCCAAGGAAAGAAGUACACAAAUGGAGUCAAGCACAAACAAAGAGCCUUACCAGGUUUGAGAACCAAGAACGGUUCUUGAAGUCAAAAGCCUCGGCCAAACAACAGUGGGAGAAGCUGAUCAAGGAGCUGGGGCUGCAGGGGAAGAUGUCCUCCCAGCAGGUCUCCAAAAAAUGGGAGAAUUAAAAAAAAAAAAAGUACAAGGAGCUGAAAACUCCCUGCUCUGGGGGUGGGACAGAUGAAGGCCAGGAGACCGCCACAACGUGGCAAUAUUAUGAGGAUAUGCACGCGGUGCUGAGAGGAAGGGCAGCAAUAAACCCUCCACUCUUGGUGGAUCCAUGCGCAGAGGGGGAUGUCAUCAUCCAAAGUGCUUUGAACGUCGCUGAGCCCAGAAUGUGCCACGUGCUGUUCCUGCUCCAGUCACCCCACCAUCUCUUCAUUUUGUUUAUUGAUGGUUGUCUUAUGUUCAUUUUUUUAAUCUGGUCAUAUUCAUACUGUUUAUUUUCUGUAGUUGCUCCACACACUUUCAGACACUUUAAGCUGUAAUUUGCACUAUGUUCACUAUUUCUGAAAAGAAGCUGCUAAUAAAAGAAAGGAAUAACAAUUUGUGAGCAUGAUUAUCACAUCAGCAUCAUAUGAAUGAAACGGAUAUUGGUUUGAAGAGAUUUAUUUUGUAAAAUAAAAAUGUGAUGCAUUACAUUAGAAUGUAAUGGGAAAAUGGGAGAAAAAGCGUGAAAAAAAAGAAAACGAUCACCAAAAAUUAUAUACAUUGCACAUCAACACACGAGCCACCACGAUGUAAGAGAGUCCAUGUGCCAACCAGUAUAUAUAGAUCAGGACCUCCAGUUGCCCGUCCCAACCAUGGUCCUGCUCUCUCUGCAGCAGCUUUUGGACAGCGUUUAUGGCUCUUCUGCUGAGGUGUAGGUCCCACCUCAAGUCCGCCUCAACAUUGAAUCACAACCUUAGAACAGGUAUAUUAUGGUCCAACCGGCAAUAAUUUGUGGGAUGACCCAUUUGCUGGAAAGAAAAACAUGGAAAGAACAGGCUUUCAUCCUCCCAAACCAACACAUUGAUGGCACACACAAUGCAGUGAAUGUAUUUAUGUAUUCACAUCUGACCCUGGUACAAAAAAAUGGGUUCAAACCCCCCUGAGCAGCAUGUUUAUCUCAAACGGAAGGAGGCGAGUAACAAAAGCCACACGUUAGCUGUUGCUUUUUGUUCGGUUAGCCAGGCUAGGACACUACUCCAAUCAA